rnacentral:lncRNA from 1 species
UAUUAUUUGCCACACAAAAAGAAUUGACCUCAUCUAAAAAGAUAUCCCAUCUUGUCUCUCGAAAGUCUCUUAGUUGCUCCUUCACAUUUUUAAGCAAGUGCAUAGCUUGUACAAUAUUUUGAUCUUUUUGUUGAAGCAAAUUUGACAAUUCAUUUGUGUACCCCAAUAUUUGCUUCAUCAAAUGAAGGAUAAACACGAAGUCAUAACUCUCCAUUCUAAUCAACAAAGUUUUAGACAUACCUCGUGUAUCACUGUUAUUUCCAUCAUCAAACACAUUUUCAAGAACUUCUAUCACCGAAGGCCACAUUGAAUGUAAACGUAGCAAAGUGAUGUAAUG